UACGUAGGGGGGCAAGCGUUGUCCGGAAUUAUUGGGCGUAAAGAGCUCGUAGGCGGUUUGUCGCGUCUGCCGUGAAAGUCCGGGGCUCAACUCCGGAUCUGCGGUGGGUACGGGCAGACUAGAGUGAUGUAGGGGAGAGUGGAAUUCCCGGUGUAGCGGUGAAAUGCGCAGAUAUCGGGAAGAACACCCGUGGCGAAGGCGGCUCUCUGGGACGGUACUGG
rnacentral:rRNA from 1 species